rnacentral:rRNA from 1 species
AGUGAACGCUGGCGGUAGGCCUAACACAUGCAAGUCGAACGGCAGCACAGUAAGUGCUUGCUCUUACGGGUGGCGAGUGGCGGACGGGUGAGGUAUACAUCGGAAUCUACUUUUUCGUGGGGGAUAACGUAGGGAAACUUACGCUAAUACCGCAUACGACCUACGGGUGAAAGCAGGGGAUCUUCGGACCUUGCGCGAUUGAAUGAGCCGAUGUCGGAUUAGCUAGUUGGCGGGGUAAAGGCCCACCAAGGCGACGAUCCGUAGCUGGUCUGAGAGGAUGAUUAGCCACACUGGAACUGAGACACGGUCCAGACUCCUACGGGAAGCCGCAGUGGGGAAUAUUGGGCAAUGGGCGAGAGCCUGAUCCAGGCAUACCGGGUGGGUCAAGAUGGCCUUCUGGUUGUAAAGCCCUUUUGUUGGGAAAGAAAAGCAGCAGGUUAAUACCCCGAUGUUCUGACGGUACCCAAAGAAUAAGCACCGGCUAACUUCGUG